AUAAUGAUACUUCCGUCCAGUCACAGCCCCGUAGGAAUGCGGGAUCACGCAAUGAGGGCGGCUUCGGGAAAACCCCGAGGGGGCUAGCUGCCCAUG
rnacentral:ncRNA from 1 species